CCUACGGGGGGCUGCAGUAGGGAAUCUUCCGCAAUGGACGAAAGUCUGACGGAGCAACGCCGCGUGAGCGAAGAAGGUCUUCGGAUCGUAAAACUCUGUUGUUAGGGAAGAACAAGUACGGGAGGAAAUGACCGUACCUUGACGGUACCUAACGAGGAAGCCACGGCUAACUACGUGCCAGCAGCCGCGGUAAUACGUAGGUGGCAAGCGUUGUCCGGAAUUAUUGGGCGUAAAGCGCGCGCAGGUGGUCUUUUAAGUCUGAUGUGAAAUCUUGCGGCUCAACCGCAAGCGGGCAUUUGAAACGGGGAGACUUGGGUGCAGGAGAGGAAAGAGGGAUUCCACGUGUAGAGGUGAAAAGCGUAGAGAUGGGGGGGAACACCAGUGGCGAAGGCGGCUUUCUGGUCUGUAACUGAAGCUGAAGCGCGAAAGCGUGGGGAGCAAACAGGAUUAGAUACCCCGGUAGUC
rnacentral:rRNA from 1 species